AUUGUCGGAGCACGUGGCGGUUGUGGAUUGGGCUACGUGGACUGGCGAGAGCUAGUCUCGCGGCGGAGACGCGGAGUGGCCGUUUUUAACCGUUUCCUCCUAUGUGGGAUUUUAGCUCGUUUUUUCCUACUCUCCCGGUGAUUCGAAGAACCUAAUUACCGUGGUUUCAUCGGUUAUUUCUUUUUUUCGCGAAGAAUAUGUUGAUUUCUUCUGAAUUAUCUAGCUCUCACUUGCUGAAGAUUUGAUUCGAGUAGCAGGAUGAUUAAGCUCAAUCUAGACCACUCGAAGGGAACGGAAUGAUUGAUCAGCGAAUCUACGAGUGUCUAAAAUUCUCAGAUCAGGGACAGAUUGCUGCUGCUACAGCACGUACUCCGGAUUGAGAACAAGAUUCAGAAAAUCUGAACAACACGUUGCAUUCAUUGGAGCCAUGGAAACGAUGAACCAAUCAAUCAGAGUAAGGUUCUGGGAGGAGCUGCAGAUUGGGAGCCUGAAACUCAGCCGCGUGGAAGCCCGCCCGGGAGGAGAGGGAGAGGACCAGAUUGUUCAGAUACAUCGCCAUCGUCGUCGUCGCAUGUUCAGACUGUUCUAGAAUCUGAAUCUGAACUCCAUUUCAUACUUGCCCCUGCUCUCCCCCCAUGCGGUCCUGAUGGAAAGAUCGAAGGCUAUAGUUUGGGCAAGACGACGAGAUCUUGCAGAAGGCCAAUUUAUGGGUUUUUUUUUUUACUUUAUUCACCCAGCAGGUUCAGUGAUAUCACGAACCACAAAGCCAUUUACAAAUUCUGGGAGAGGGUCUAUUUUGGUUUGAUGCCAAAAUGUGGUCUACUAAAUCGGGAGAAUAUAGACUAUUUACCAUUAAAUUCGCGUGCCUUAACUUUUUUUACCACCCAAUCCGCAUACCCCUUUAUAAUAUAUCAUUAGGACUGCUAAUUAGUCUAUUUGGUACCACUUUCAGGUUUUUUACUGUGUUUCUCAUUUCUUAAUUCCAUUUGCAUAUUUUUUCAAGAUUUGUGGACGUUUUUGCCCCUAGGCCCACCCGUCAGAACCAAAGAGAGAUAUUUCUCUCUAGAUCGAUCGAUCCCUCCAGUCUCGUCACCGUGAGCACCAACCUCGCCGCCGGGCACCGCCAACCCCGCCGCCGAGCACCCCCACUCCGCCGCCCAAUGCCGCCGCAGCUAGCCGCCGUCGCCACUCGCCCAUGCCCGGCCACCACCGAGCGCCGCCCCCAGGUCGCCGCCCCCGAGCGCCGUGCCACCACCCCGCGGAAGGGGAGGCGCCGAUGCUGGUGCCGCCUCCAGACGUGCAGCUCAUCUGGCUCUACCACUGCUUCCACCAUGUGAGAGCUUUACCUGCCACCUUGGUCGCUUCACUAAAUCUUCUGAACUGAGAAACUAACCUUGUUUAAUCAAUAUAUAGUGUUUGUGCCCAAUGUCAUUUACUAAUUGUGUUUGUGCACGGGGGAGCUGCUCGGCCUGGGCGGCGGCUCCAGGCACGGGGGAGGCGCUUGGCCUGGGCAGCGGCGCCAGGCCUGGGUGAUGAUGCGGCGGCGGGGUGAUGGCGCGGCGUUUGGGGGCGGCGCUCGGUGGUGAGGCGGCAAGCUGAGGUGAGUGGCGGCGGCGGGGUUGGCGGCGAACGGAUGAGACUGGAGGGAUCGAUCGAUCCAGAGAGAAAUAUCUCUCUUUGGUUAUGACAGGUGUAUUUGAGACGCCUGGUUUACGGCAGAGAGGAUUGCUUCAGGAAGCAAACCCGGGCUGCUGCCUCACGCCAUUGCUUUGCUUCAAGAGGGCGUAUGGUAUCUACGUAGAUAAAUCAUAAAUGGUUGUAUUUAUCUCGUCGUAAUUAAUGGGUGAAAUUGGAAUCUCUACUUGUUUAGGUACUUCAGCUAAAAGAUGGAAAAAAUUCUUUCGUAAAAAAAAAUGAUUUACAGAAAUGCACAGUACAGCGUGUGUUCUAGCUACCUGCUUUGAGCCUGAGGCCCCCGUUGUUCGGCUUAUUGAUGGAAUAAGACAAACGGCAUAUUUAUAAAUGAAAGAUAAUUUGUGAAUAGAAA